GGCACUUUGGCGGAGUGGUUAACGCGAUGCCCUGCUAUACCUAGUAGCUUAGGCAUUCCCUUCGGGGGCGUGUGUUCGAAUCACACAGGUGUCG
rnacentral:tRNA from 1 species